rfam:Xenopus tropicalis strain Nigerian Chr03_contig_3086, whole genome shotgun sequence.
GCUGAAAUAGCUCAGUUGGGAGAGUGUUAGACUGAAAGUCUAAAGGUCCCUGCUUUGGUGCUGGGUUUUGGCA